GAUGAACGCUGACAGAAUGCUUAACACAUGCAAGUCUACUUGAUUCUACUUCGGUAGUUGAUGGUGGCGGACGGGUGAGUAACGCGUAAAGAAUCUGCCCUUUAGUUUGGGAUAACCUUUGGAAACGAAGGCUAAUACCGGAUAUUAUGGAGACGUCGCAUGGCGACUCCAUGAAAGCUAUAUUCGCUAGAGGAGGACUUUGCGUCCCAUUAGUUAGUUGGUGAGGUAAUGGCUCACCAAGACCGCGAUGGGUAGCCGGCCUGAGAGGGUGAACGGACAGAAGGGACCCGAGACACGAUCCUUACUCCUACGGGAGGCAGCAGUGGGGAAUAUUGGACAAUGGACCAAAAGUCUGAUGCGGUAAGUCUGUGUGCACGAUGAACGUCUUCGGAUAGUAAAGUACUUUCAGAAGGGAAGAAAAAAAUGACGGUACCUACAGAAGAAGCGACGGUUAAAUAUGUGCCAGCAGCCGCCGUAACAC
rnacentral:rRNA from 1 species